CUGCGCCACAACGGGAACUCCUGCUACUCAGGUUUCCACAACAGACGCAAGAAGAAAGCAUCCUUGUGUUUUCCGUCUGUCUGAUUGUGGUAGCCCAGACUGAAUGGGGGGAUACAGGG
rnacentral:snoRNA from 1 species